UCAAGCGACUAAGUGUAUGUGGUGGAUGCCUUGGCGAUUACAGGCGAUGAAGGACGUCGCAGCCUGCGAAAAGCCGUGGGGAGCUGGCAAGCGAGCACUGAUCCACGGAUGUCCGAAUGAGGGAACUCACCCGCAAGGGUAUCUUGAAGUGAAUACAUAGCUUCAAGAGGCGAACGCAGCGAACUGAAACAUCUAAGUAGCUGCAGGAAAAGAAAUCAACCGAGAUUCUGAAAGUAGCGGCGAGCGAAAUUGGAAGAGCCUGCAAGUGAUAUUGAAUUCGAUACUGGAACGGUCUGGAAAGUCCGGCUACAGAGGGUGACAGCCCCGUACGGGAAAUUGGGUUCAAGGUACUGAGCUUGCGAGAAGUAGAGCGGGACACGUGAAAUCCUGCUCGAAGAUGGGGGGACCAUCCUCCAAGGCUAAAUACUCGUAAUCGACCGAUAGCGAACCAGUACUGUGAAGGAAAGGCGAAAAGAACCCCGGGAGGGGAGUGAAAUAGAUCCUGAAACCGCAUACAUACAAACAGUAGGAGCCCGCAAGGGUGACUGCGUACCUUUUGCAUAAUGGGUCAGCGACUUACGUUCAAUGGCAAGCUUAACCGAGUAGGGGAGGCGCAGCGAAAGCGAGUCCGAACAGGGCGACAUGAGUCGUUGGGCGUAGACCCGAAACCAGAUGAUCUAUCCAUGGCCAGGCUGAAGGUGUGGUAACACACACUGGAGGGCCGAACCGACUAGUGUUGCAAAAUUAGCGGAUGAGCUGUGGAUAGGGGUGAAAGGCUAAACAAAUCUGGAGAUAGCUGGUUCUCCCCGAAAACUAUUGAGGUAGUGCCUCGUGUAUGGCUCCAGGGGGUAGAGCACUGUUAUGGCUAGGGGGACAUGGCGUCUUACCAAACCAUGGCAAACUCCGAAUACUUGGAAGUCUGAGCACGGGAGACAGAGCACCGGGUGCUAACGUCCGGACUCAAAAGGGAAACAACCCAGACCGCCGGCUAAGGUCCCUAAUAUUGACUAAGUGGAAAACGAAGUGGGAAGGCUAAGACAGUCAGGAAGUUGGCUUAGAAGCAGCCAUCCUUCAAAGAAAGCGUAAUAGCUCACUGAUCGAGUCUUCCUGCGCGGAAGAUGUAACGGGGCUAAGUCAAUAACCGAAGCCGCGGAUUCGCAGCAAUGCGAGUGGUAGGGGAGCGUUCUGUAAGCCUGCGAAGGCGGAUCUGCGAGGACCGCUGGAGGUAUCAGAAGUGCGAAUGCUGACAUGAGUAACGUUAAAGCGGGUGAAAAGCCCGCUCGCCGCAAGCCCAAGGUUUCCUGCUCUACGUUCAUCGGAGCAGGGUGAGUCGGCCCCUAAGGUCAGGCUGAGAAGCGUAGCUGAUGGGAAGCUGGUUAAUAUUCCAGCACCGAUUUCAAGUGCGAAGGGGGGACGGAGUCCUGAAGGUCAUCCGGGUGUUGGAUAUCCCGGUUUACGAGCGUAGGAGGUUGACAGGCAAAUCCGUCAACGGAUCUCCAAGGCGAAGGAUCGAGGUUGAGAGAUCAACUGAAGUGACUGAAUGGGCUUCCAGGAAAAGCCUCUAAGCAUCAGCUUGGAAUUGACCGUACCGCAAACCGACACUGGUGGGCGAGCUGAAUAUGCUCAGGCGCUUGAGAGAACUCAGGAGAAGGAACUCGGCAAAUUGACACCGUAACUUCGGGAUAAGGUGUGCCUUUGUAGUGUGAAGGGAGAAACACCCCGAGCAUGAAGAGGCCUCAGAGAAUCGGUGGCUGCAACUGUUUACUAAAAACACAGCACUCUGCAAAGAUGAAAGUCGACGUAUAGGGUGUGAUGCCUGCCCGGUGCUGGAAGAUUAAUUGAUGGGGUGCAAGCUCCUGAUCGAAGUCCCAGUAAACGGCGGCCGUAACUAUAACGGUCCUAAGGUAGCGAAAUUCCUUGUC
rnacentral:rRNA from 1 species